CCAAGGGACCAUUGUUACACCGUGGGGCUUCAUGGAAUCAUGGAGAGCACUGUGAUAUUUCGCUCGCCUCAUGGAACAGGGGGACCAUACUAAAGCUGUAUGGUUCCAUGGACACUAGGGACCAUUGUGACACUGUGAGGCCCCAUCUACAGAGGGUCCAUUGUGACACCAAGGGGCCUCAUAGAACUGUGGAGACCAUUAUGAUGCUUUGGGGUGUCAUGGAACCAAGGGGCCAUUGUGACACAGUUGAUGAGUUCUCUUAGAAGAUGUGGUUGUAGAUGCAAGGAGAAAUGAGGUCUUUCUAGAGAAAGAGCAGGGGCAGACUGCUUAUCAGAGAUGCCAUGCCAGGCUCAGGGAGAGCUGUUCCCAGCCCGAGAGCAGGAAGAGCAGCUCAGGCAGCAGGUGGAAGAGCCACAGCAGAAUGGCCAGAACAUCAAGGCAGAGCCACAAGCAGAGCUGCCCGAAGCUCAGAGUGCCAUCAUGGCAGUGAAGAGAAAGAACAAGGAAGACAUGAGAAGAAUUCAAGAGGAGAUGAAUCUCCAUCAGCACAGGGGCGAUCAACAAAACCAGGUGAGAGAAAGAGUGGCAGCCACUCCACUCAUGAAACUUCCUCUCCAUUGUUGUUUACAAACCAUCAAGGAAGAUGUGCAGGCAGAGCUGCAGGAAUCUGAGGCUAGGAACAAGGCAAGGGAGAAGAGGCUGGAAGAAGAAAUGAAAAUCAUCAGAGAGAAAGUUAAUCACCUCCCUCAGGCUCUACAAAAGCAAGUGAGUGAAGGAGGGACAGCCACUGCAGUCACCAAACUGAUGCUUUCUGCCCUUCUUGCCUUUCAGUGCAGAGCAGCAGGGAGUGGGGCCAUGCCUCUGAGUGCCAUCCUGCUCUAGUAUAUAUCACAGUCACUCUGAAGGACAUUUCCUGCUGGAUCUCAAGUGCUGCCCUGGACAGUGGGACUUGUUCUUUGGCUUUUGGCCAGCAAUCAUCCAAAUUGAUUCCUGCUGGCAUGUUCCUGCUCUCUCUGUUUCUUUACAGGGGAACAUGGUGACCCAGAGGAGGAUUGAAACAAGCUGUCUGUAUCCCUUGUAUAUCUGUUCUUUCCCUUUGCUCACAGUCAAUGACUCUUGGCUGAGAGGGACAAGCUGUGGUCUCUGAUUGCUUUGUUCUCUGACUUGAGGUGCAAGUGUCGACAUCUCACCUGG